rnacentral:rRNA from 1 species
CCUACGGGUGGCAGCAGUGAGGAAUAUUGGUCAAUGGGCGAGAGCCUGAACCAGCCAAGUCGCGUGAGGGAGUACUGCCCUAUGGGUUGUAAACCUCUUUUGUCGGGGCACAAAAGCCGGACGUUUCCGGCUGUGAGAGUACCCGAAGAAAAAACAUCGGCUAACUCCGUGCCAGCAGCCGCGGUAAUACGGAGGAUGCGAGCGUUAUCCGUAUUUAUUUGGUUUAACGGGUGCGCAGGCGGAUUUUUAAGUAAGAGUGCAAAUCGUGGGGCUAAACCCCAUCCAGCCGUUGAAACUGGGGAUCUAGAGUGUGCGAGAGGUAUGCGGAAUGCGUGGUGUAGCGGUGAAAUGCAUAGAGAUCACGCAGAACCCCGAUUGCGAAGGCAGCAUACCGGUGCACAACUGACGCUCAGGCACGAAAGCGUGGGUAUCGAACAGGAUUAGAUACCCUUGUAGUC